AUUGAACGCUAGCGGGAUGCCUUACACAUGCAAGUCGAACGAGUGGCGAACGGGUGAGUAAUGUAUCGGAACAUGCCCCGUAGCGGGGGAUAACUACCCGAAACGUAGCUAAUACCGCAUACUAUUGGAGCGGCCGAUACAGGAAUAGCUAGUUGGUGGGGUAACGGCUCACCAAGGCGACGAUCCGUACCAGGGUUGAGAGGACGACCAGCCACACUGGGACUGCGAUACGGCCCAGACUCCUACGGAAGGCAACAGUGGGGAAUUUUGGACAAUGGGGGCAACCCUUAUCCAGCCAUUCCGCGUGUUCGAUGAAGGCCUUCGGGUUGUAAAGCACUUUCGGCAGGAAAGCGGUACCUGCAGAAUAAGCACCGGCGAACUACGUGCCAGCAGCCGCGGUAAUUC
rnacentral:rRNA from 1 species